CCGGGAACGCGGCGCUUCGGAAGGCAGGAGCUUGCUCCCAGCCGCGAGGCCGGCGGCUGUUUGGUCCCCCCAAUAUCCAUUCCGGAGCAGGAUUUCGUGGGGAAAGGACCCGCGGUGGGAGAAUUUCGGCAAUCGGAGACCCUCCUUUGCCCGUGGCUCCACGGAGGGAAGCGGAAACGCCGCCAUUUUAGAGCGUCCGGAAAAUCGCUUCGACGCAAGCGUUAGGUUAGAGAGGAAGUUUUUUUCUGGAAGCGGAAGGAGAAGCUUCGUGCUGGAAAUCGAUUCCUGCCUGACGGGAAGUGAAAAGGACGCGUGGGAGGGGUGUCUCAGGGUAACAAAUUAUAGAGGAGGGGGAGAAAGGAAGUGGGGAGGGGGCUUCGCGUUGCCACAAGGGGCUGGCUUGGGCUGUAAACGCCCCCAGCGCUUUGCCUCCUUACGAUCGGAUCCUGGGAAAUUACCUUAUCGGGAGGGCGGACGACGGCGUGGGCUCGUUAUCCUCUAUAAUCUGGGGGCUUUUAGACUGUCUUUUAAAUUGCUGCUUGUCGGGUCAUUGGAGAAAAAUCUGUAA
rnacentral:lncRNA from 1 species